UCAAUGGAGAGUUUGAUCCUGGCUCAGGACGAACGCUGGCGGCGUGCUUUAUACAUGCAAGUCGAACGAUGAAGUUCCUUCGGGAAUGGAUUAGUGGCGAACGGGUGAGGAACACGUGAGAAACCUGCCUUUCAUUCUGGGAUAACACCGGGAAACCGGUGCUAAUACCGGAUACUCCAUCUUGGCGGCAUCGCCGAGCUGGGAAAAAAUUUUGAUGAAAGAUGGUCUCGCGGCCUAUCAGCUAGUUGGUGAGGUAAAGGCUCACCAAGGCGACGACGGGUAGCCGGCCUGAGAGGGCGACCGGCCACACUGGGACUGAGACACGGCCCAGACUCCUACGGGAGGCAGCAGUAGGGAAUAUUGGGCAAUGGGCGAAAGCCUGACCCAGCGACGCCGCGUGAGGGAUGAAGGUCUUCGGAUUGUAAACCUCUUUCAGUAGGGAAGAAGCGAAAGUGACGGUACCUAAAGAAGAAGCACCGGCUAACUAUGUGCCAGCAGCCGCGGUAAUACAUAGGGUGCAA
rnacentral:rRNA from 1 species